rnacentral:rRNA from 1 species
CUACGGGUCGCUCCAGGCGAGAAAACUUUGCAAUGUGCGAAAGCACGACAAGGUUAAUCCGAGUGGUUUCUGCUAAAGGAACCUUUUGUCGGUCCUAGAAACACCGAUGAAUAAGGGGUGGGCAAGUUCUGGUGUCAGCCGCGCGCGGUAAAACCAGCACCUCAAGUGGUCAGGAUGAUUAUUGGGCCUAAAGCAUCCGUAGCCGGCUUUGUUAGUUUUCGGUUAAAUCUGUACGCUCAACGUACAGGCUGCCGGAAAUACUGCAGAGCUAGGGAGUGGGAGAGGUAGACGGUACUCGGUAGGAAGGGGUAAAAUCCUUUGAUCUAUUGAUGACCACCUGUGGCGAAGGCGGUCUACCAGAACACGUCCGACGGUGAGGGAUGAAAGCUGGGGGAGCAAACCGGAUUAGAUACCCUAGUAGUC